CAGUCGCCGCGGUAAUACGGAGGGUGCAAGCGUUAAUCGGAAUUACUGGGCGUAAAGCGCACGCAGGCGGUUUGUUAAGUCAGAUGUGAAAUCCCCGAGCUUAACUUGGGAACUGCAUUUGAAACUGGCAAGCUAGAGUCUUGUAGAGGGGGGUAGAAUUCCAGGUGUAGCGGCGAAAUGCGUAGAGAUCUGGAGGAAUACCGGUGGCGAAGGCGGCCCCCUGGACAAAGACUGACGCUCAGGUGCGAAAGCGUGGGGAGCAAACAGGAUUAGAUACCCGUGUAGUCCCUGUCUCUUAUAC
rnacentral:rRNA from 1 species